rnacentral:rRNA from 1 species
GAUGAACGCUGGCGGCGUGCCUAAUACAUGCAAGUCGAGCGAACAGAUGAGGAGCUUGCUCCUCUGACGUUAGCGGCGGACGGGUGAGUAACACGUGGAUAACCUACCUAUAAGACUGGGAUAACUUCGGGAAACCGGAGCUAAUACCGGAUAAUAUAUUGAACCGCAUGGUUCAAUAGUGAAAGACGGUUUUGCUGUCACUUAUAGAUGGAUCCGCGCCGCAUUAGCUAGUUGGUAAGGUAACGGCUUACCAAGGCAACGAUGCGUAGCCGACCUGAGAGGGUGAUCGGCCACACUGGAACUGAGACACGGUCCAGACUCCUACGGGAGGCAGCAGUAGGGAGUCUUCCGCAAUGGGCGAAAGCCUGACGGAGCAACGCCGCGUGAGUGAUGAAGGUCUUCGGAUCGUAAAACUCUGUUAUUAGGGAAGAACAAAUGUGUAAGUAACUAUGCACGUCUUGACGGUACCUAAUCAGAAAGCCACGGCUAACUACGUG